CGUGUCGAGUGGCGGGAAAGCGUAUGGAGUACGCUACUCGCGGCAGGUUUCGCGGGUUUGGGCCUCAAAACCCGGGCGGAGGUCCCGAUGCGGACGGAUGGCACGUGGCGGCAUCGGUGAGAUCGCUUCGGAGCGAGGCUACCGGUGAGGAGGCAUGGUGGCCGUCGGAUUUAGGUCAUGUCGAGUUGGACUAGAAUGCCCCUGGGGCUAGCUAGUUCGCUCAAAAAUAUCUAGAGACAUUUGGGGAAUAUGUAAUAUGCCUGAUAAAUAAACCGGGAGAGUUCCCAUCUCCCUAACCCUCUCUCCACCUCUGUCCACCUUUCUUCCUCCUGUUUUCCCGUAGGUGCUCUCUCCCCCUCCCUGGUUUUCUUUAGUAGAGUAGGCUAUGAACUGAAAUUUUUAGGAGAGUUUUGUACUGGUUUUCGAGUUGGGAAUGGAGGCCCAAAUUCUCCAGUUGUCCUUCGGGAUUCCCUUUUUGAUCUGUUGAUUUCGUUGUAUAAGUUUCACAGUUUUCUCCCAUUUUCGUUCGUGGCUAAGAUCUCGAUUUCCCGGAGUUUGGAUUGAUCCCAAGCAAUGAUUUUUGGGGAAUUGUUUCUUGCUAGGGUGAAUUUGGUCUGUGCAAAUUUUGGGAACGAUUCAUGGAGGUUUGGGUACAUUUUGGUUAAUUUUUGGAGCCGGCCUCACCCUGCUCUUUUUCCUGUUCGUAGUGCAAGGGGCUCUCUGCUCUUUCUGGUUCUGGUCAGUGGCGCAGGUUCCCAAGUCUGAUGGAGGUUGAGCCAGUUCGUAAGUGCCUAUUGUUGUUCGUUCGUGAUUUCAAGUGAUUGAUUCUGAGCAUAGUUGUCCAGUUCUUUCUUGUUCCCUUCUGUUCUAGUGUUUAUUUUGUUUCUCUUCGUUCUUCGGUUGCGUGGGCGAUUCUGCACAUGGAGCUUGCUGCAGUGCUACCAGCGCCGAGCGCUCAGGCGCCGUGCGUGCUCGCUUGAGCAGCACUUGUCGUUGGCCAGGGUAAACGAUUUUUGUCCAGCGCUCUGCUCCAGGUGCUCGUGGAUUCCUUGUUCGUGAGCUUGAUUUACUGGUCUGCUUUGGUGGCUGUGUAUUGAUGCAGAGCAGACCCUGCUCAAUUUCCUCCAAACAGCUCGUGGACACCAGCAGUCCGUCAGGAGUCCAUCAGGCCAGGAGCGCCCUCAGCUCUACUCGUUCAGCAAGCAGGUAGUUUCUGGUUUUCUGUUGUGGUACUAGUUCAUGCUCCAUCAGGUGUUGGUUAGCUAGCAAGUGCAGCAGUUCGUUCCUGUGUUGAGCUUCUAGUUUCUGAUUGGUUAGGAGCUUGUUUAAGCUUCCGUGAAAUUGCAAAGAAAUUUCUUUGGCCAAGUUUGUUUUUUUCUCAGUUGUUGAUUGCAGUGCGUGGCGUGCGACAGUAUCUGCCUGCAGUCCUGCUUUCUCUCAGUUCUUCAAGUUUGAUUUUCUGUUUUUUUUUUGUGUCCUCUUUUCUCUUGGCCAUGAUUUUUUGUUUCUUGCGUAGUUUAGUUGUUUGGGUUCUGAUUUAAGUUUCGUCUGUUGCGUUAGCUUUCUAAAGUUGCAAAUUCUUUCUAAGUGCUCUUGUCACUAGUUGGCUUGAGUAAUUUUGUUUUGGUUCUCUCGCUUGUGUUUGGCAGUGAUUUGGGACAGUGGCCGAAAAUAUUUUGAGAAAAAUUUACGGCUCCCAUUCAACCCCCCCUCUGGUCGCUGUUUUCGGUCCUUCAAGAUGCCACAUGCAUAUUUUGUUGUAGGUCUGAGCACGAACUAAGGUGUGAAAUGAAUCUGUCGAGCUAUAAACAUUAGCAUGGAAUAUGGACUAUGCUACUCUUAAUUAUUUUCAAUCAUCAGCUACCUUCUGCUUCUAGAUAUUAUUCAUGCUGGUGACUAACAUGAUCAUUCCAUUUAGACAAGCGAAUCGUGACAUAUUAAUUCACAUCAGCAAAAAUAAAUAGCAUCGGACAGGGACUGAUGAGAACUUGUGGAAAUAUAUAAAAAUGUAAGCUUCCAGUGUUGUAGAUUUCACAACAUGGCCACUACUAUAAUAUAUAGUGUGUUGUCAGUAUUUGAACAAUUGAAGGAUAAAAUAUACAUACAUGAUGCAUGAAAACAGACACGAUGCAUGAAAACAUAUGAGGCAAAACAAUUAAUAGCAUAGCUUCAUGGAUUGCUAUAGGAAUAGGAGGCAAAAAGGAAGUUCGAAUUUGAUAUUGAUGUACCUUGGUAUAGUUCGCAGGGAGCUAGCAGGUGGAUGAUUGGCAUCCAAUAUCUGUGUUGCUUGCUGUCACACCCAUAUUUUAAGAACAAAAUAGGAUGCAUAAAAGACUCAUAUGUGCCCCAGGAAUAGUCGCACACAUAAGUAGACAAAUCUCAAAUGUACCAUUGCAGUGUUUAUUACAUAGCGGAAUAUAAUAUAUCACAUAGUCUCAUACAAAGAUGAUAAUAAUAUUAAACAACGCUC
rnacentral:lncRNA from 1 species